rnacentral:tRNA from 1 species
GCCUAGAUAGCUCAGUAGGUAGAGCACUGGUCUUGUAAGCCAGGGGCCAUGAUCCUUACAGGGGACUUGUGAUAGAAUUAUACUUUUUUGAAGAUAGCAAGCUGGCAGAAUUGUUAGCACACUGGGCA